CAUGGAUUGUGUCUCACCCAUGGCUAUUUGCAGCCCCUAAGGAGAGCCUGCUUUCUCCACCACACUCUAUCCUUGCCCAGGUACAUGAGAAGCUGGGGUCAGAGCUGCCAGGCCUGGAGCCAGCCCUGCAGGUGGACCUGGUGUGGGCCCUGUGUGUGCUGCAGCAGGCACGGGAAGCAGAGCUGCAAGCCGUCCUCCACCCUGAAUUUCACAUCCAAUUUCUAGGGGGCAAGUCUCAGAAGGAUCAGAACACCUUCCAGAAGCUGCUCCACAUCAACGCCACUGCCCUGCUGGAGUACCCCGAGUACUCGGGUCCCCUUCUGCCUGCCUCGGCUGUGGCCCCUGGGCCCUCAGCCCUUGACAGGAAGGUGACCCCCCUGCAAAAGGAGCUGCAGGAGACGCUGAAGGGGCUGCUGGGGAGCGCCGACAAGGGCAGCCUCGAGGUGGCCACGCAGUAUGGCUGGGUGCUGGAUGCUGAGGUGCUGC
rnacentral:lncRNA from 1 species